GAUGAACGCUAGCUACAGGCUUAACACAUGCAAGUCGAGGGGCAGCAGGGAUUUAGCUUGCUAAAUCCGCUGGCGACCGGCGCACGGGUGCGUAACGCGUAUCCAACUUUCCCGUUACUCAGGGAUAGCCUUCCGAAAGGGAGAUUAAUACCUGAUGGUGUUUGAAAUUCGCAUGUUCUUCAAACUAAAGAUUUAUCGGUAACGGAUAGGGAUGCGUGACAUUAGAUAGUAGGCGGGGUAACGGCCCACCUAGUCUACGAUGUCUAGGGGUUCUGAGAGGAAGGUCCCCCACACUGGAACUGAGACACGGUCCAGACUCCUACGGGAGGCAGCAGUGAGGAAUAUUGGUCAAUGGUCGGAAGACUGAACCAGCCAAGUAGCGUGAAGGAUGAAGGUUCUACGGAUUGUAAACUUCUUUUAUAUAGGAAUAAAACGUCCCACGUGUGGGAUCUUGUAUGUACUAUAUGAAUAAGCAUCGGCUAACUCCGUG
rnacentral:rRNA from 1 species